rnacentral:rRNA from 1 species
AAUCAACGCUGGCGGCGUGCCUAACACAUGCAAGUCGAACGCGAAAGGGGCUUCGGCCCUGAGUAGAGUGGCGAACGGGCGAGUAACACGUGGGUGACCUACCUUCGAGUGGGGGAUAACGUCCCGAAAGGGACGCUAACACCGCAUAACAUCCUGCCUUUGAACAGGUGGAGAUCAAAGCUGGGGAUCGCAAGACCCGGCGCUUGAAGAGGGGCCCGCGUCCGAUUAGCUAGUUGGGAGGUAAUGGCUCACCAAGGCGACGAUCGGUAACCGGCCUGAGAGGGCGGACGGUCACACUGGGACUGAGACACGGCCCAGACUCCUACGGGAGGCAGCAGUGGGGAAUUGUUCACAAUGGGCGCAAGCCUGAUGACGCAACGCCGCGUGGAGGAUGAAGGUCUUCGGAUUGUAAACUCCUGUUGCUCGGGACGAAAAGCUUCGACCUAAUACGUCGAAGUCUGACGGU